rnacentral:miRNA from 1 species
GACUUGUUACAAGGUUGUUCUAACAAGUCUGAUACAGUCAUGAUAUAACAAGAAUGUUACAAGUUUGACGACACAAGGUUGUAACAAUAUUGCUAUAUCAUGACUGUAUCGGACUUGUUGGAACAACCUUGCAACAAGUC